rnacentral:rRNA from 1 species
AAGGUUUCCGUAGGUGAACCUGCGGAAGGAUCAUUGCACACACAAGUUGCAGCCAACCCGCGGCGAACGAACACAUUGUCCCCCUCGGCGGGUCGUGGCGCCUCGCGGCGUCGCGGCCGGCCAUCUCCCUUCGUCACGAGCUUCGUCGCGGCGAGCUCGGGGCGUGGGGUUUCCACGAUGCAUCCACCUUGACUGAAUGACUGAGUCCCUUUACUUCAUAGGAAUUAGCUCCGUCCCCGUUCGCCGGCUCGCUUGCGAAUUGGGGCGGCGCUGGUUACCUUACGAGUUGAAACAUAACCAAAAACAACUCUCAGCAACGGAUAUCUUGGCUCUUGCAACGAUGAAGAACGCAGCGAAAUGCGAUACGUAGUGUGAAUUGCAGAAUUCCGCGAAUCAUCGAGUCUUUGAACGCAAGUUGCGCCCGAGGCUUGUCCGAGGGCAUUUCCGCUAGAGCGUCACCGCGCCCCCCACCAACCCGCUCCCACGUGGAUUCGGGUCGAGUGAAAGUGGCCAUCCUGGUGGGCCCUUUUUCUUCCUUAAGGGAAGAGGAAGGCCUUAAGGGUUGGCUGAAAUGGAGGGAAUCGAGCCGCCGUGGUGACACAGUCCGCGAUCGGGUGAUCCGAGCUCCUUCGGGAGCCCGGAAUUUUUCUAAGUGCGUGGCUGCGUCCCCCAGUUGGUUUUAGUUACCUCAUGCAGGUCGAGCGCGCCCUCGUGGCGCGCGUCACGCAUCAGACCUCUAAUCGGAAAAGACUACCCGCUGAGUUUAAGCAUAUCACUAAGCGGAGGAGAAGAAACUAACCAGGAUUUCCCUAGUAACG